rnacentral:rRNA from 1 species
CUACGGGCGGCUCCAGUGGGGAAUUUUGGACAAUGGGCGCAAGCCUGAUCCAGCCAUGCCGCGUGAGUGAAGAAGGCCUUCGGGUUGUAAAGCUCUUUCGGUGAAGACGAAACGGUUAGCGUUAAUAGCGCUGACUAAUGACGGUACUCACAGAAGAAGCACCGGCUAACUACGUGCCAGCAGCCGCGGUAAUACGUAGGGUGCAGGCGUUAAUCGGAAUUACUGGGCGUAAAGCGUGCGCAGGCGGUUUGCUAAGACAGGUGUGAAAUCCCCGGGCUUAACCUGGGAAUUGCGCUUGUAACUGGCAGGCUAGAGUGUGGCAGAGGGGGGUGGAAUUCCACGUGUAGCAGUGAAAUGCGUAGAUAUGUGGAGGAACACCGAUGGCGAAGGCAGCCCCCUGGGUUAACACUGACGCUCAGGCACGAAAGCGUGGGGAGCAAACAGGAUUAGAUACCCCCGUAGUC